UCCUGGAUAACAAGCCUAAAGGUUUUCUUUUUGAUGAUAUCGAUAUUGAUGAUAGUGACGAUAUUGAUGCUAGUGACGAUAUUGAUGCUAGUGACGAUAUUGAUGCUAGUGACGAUAUCGAUCGUGACCUUGAUACGGAGCUGGAGCUGCUAACUAUGAUGAAUGCGCUAACUAUGGAUAUGAUGCCGGAAAUAGACCGAUUUUAUAUCACCCUUCAAUUCGAAUUAGCAAAAGCAAUGUCUCCUUGCAUAAUAUGGAUUCCAAACAUUCAUGAUCUGGAUGUGAAUGAGUCGAAUUACUUAUCCCUCGGUCUAUUAGUGAACUAUCUCUCCAGGGAUUGUGAAAGAUGUUCCACUAGAAAUAUUCUUGUUAUUGCUUCGACUCAUAUUCCCCAAAAAGUGGAUCCCGCUCUAAUAGCUCCGAAUAAAUUAAAUACAUGUAUUAAGAUACGAAGGCUUCUUAUUCCACAACAACGAAAGCACUUUUUCACUCUUUCAUAUACUAGGGGAUUUCACUUGAAAAGAAAAUGUUCCAUACUAAUGGAUUCGGGUCAUAACCAUGGGUUCCAAUGCACGAGAUCUUGUAGCACUUACCAAUGAGGCCCUAUCGAUUAGUAUUACACAGAAGAAAUCAAUUAUAGACACUAAUGCAAUUAGAUCCGCUCUUCAUAGACAAACUUGGGAUUUGCGAUCCCAGGUAAGAUCGGUUCAGGAUCAUGGGAUCCUUUUCUAUCAGAUAGGAAGGGCUGUUGCGCAAAAUGUACUUCUAAGUAAUUGCCCCAUAGAUCCUAUAUCUAUCUAUAUGAAGAAGAAAUCAUGUAACGAAGGGGAUUCUUAUUUGUACAAAUGGUACUUCGAACUUGGAACGAGCAUGAAGAAAUUAACGAUACUUCUUUAUCUUUUGAGUUGUUCUGCCGGAUCGGUCGCUCAAGACCUUUGGUCUCUACCCGGACCCGAUGAAAAAAAUGGGAUCACUUCUUAUGGACUCGUUGAGAAUGAUUCUGAUCUAGUUCACGGCCUAUUAGAAGUAGAAGGCGCUCUGGUGGGAUCCUCACGGACAGAAAAAGAUUGCAGUCAGUUUGAUAAUGAUCGAGUGACAUUGCUUCUUCGGCCCGAACCAAGGAAUCCCUUAGAUAUGAUGCAAAAUGGAUCUUGUUCUAUCGUUGAUCAGAGAUUUCUCUAUGAAAAAUACGAAUCGGAGUUUGAAGAAGGGGCAGGAGAAGGAGCCCUCGACCCGCAACAGAUAGAGGAGGAUUUAUUCAAUCACAUAGUUUGGGCUCCUAGAAUAUGGCGCCCUUGGGCGGCUUUCUAUUUGAUUGUAUCGAAAGGACCAAUGAAUUGGGAUUUCCCUAUUGGGCCAGGUCUUUUCGGGGCAAGCGGAUCAUUUAUGAUGAAGAGGAUGAGCUUCAAGAGAAUGAUUCGGAGUUCUUGCAGAGUGGAACCAUGCAGUACCAGACACGAGAUAGAUCUUCCAAAGAACAAGGCUUUUUUCGAAUAAGCCAAUUCAUUUGGGACCUGCAGAUCCACUCUUUUUCCUAUUCAAAGAUCAGCCCUUUGUCUCUGUGUUUUCACAUCGAGAAUUCUUUGCAGAUGAAGAGAUGUCAAAGGGGCUUCUUACUUCCCAAACAGAUCCUCCUACAUCUAUAUAUAAACGCUGGUUUAUCAAGAAUACGCAAGAAAAGCACUUCGAAUUGUUGAUUCAUCGCCAGAGAUGGCUUAGAACCAAUAGUUCAUUAUCUAAUGGAUCUUUCCGUUCUAAUACUCCAUCCGAGAGUUAUCAGUAUUUAUCAAAUCUGUUCCUAUCUAACGCAAGGCUAUUGGAUCAAAUGACAAAGACAUUGUUGAGAAAAAGAUGGCUUUUCCCGGAUGAAAUGAAAAUUGGAUUCAUGUAACAGGAGAAAGAUUUCCCAUUCCUUAGCCGGAAAGAUAUGUGGCCAUGAAAUAGGGAUUAAGUGGAACAGAAUUGACUGUGUGGUAGAGUCGUGGAAACACUUGUUUUCUUCCAUAUUUUGGACCUUAGCUCCAUGGAACAAUAUGCUACUGCUGAAACAUGGAAGAAUUGAAAUCUUAGAUCAAAACACUAUGUAUGGAUGGUAUAAACUGCCUAAACAAGAAUUCUUGAACAGCGAACAACCAGAGCCUAUUACUCACUACAUCAAAAAAUUUCCAUUAAUGAAAGAUGUAAAUCCAUUGGAAAAUCAAAAAUACGCAUGUCUGAUGAAAUGGUUGUUGCUAUCUGCUCCAAUAACGAAUCAUUGGUUUAACUGAAUAACUAAAUAAAAUGGAUAGACCUUUCUCUUCGUCUCAGGUCGAUGGAUCUUCUCAAUUGGAAGAUCCCCUAUAUGGAUAAUACACAUUCCAGUUGACCGAGCCUAAUUCUAAUUGUUUUGUUCCGAAGCAAA